rnacentral:rRNA from 1 species
UAAGGAAUAUUGGACAAUGGAGGAAACUCUGAUCCAGCCAUGCCGCGUGAGUGACGAAGGCCUUAGGGUUGUAAAGCUCUUUCAGGUGCGAAGCAGUAACACCAGAAGAAGCCCCGGCUAAAUUCGUGCCAGCAGCCGCGGUAAUACGAAUGGGGCGAGCGUUGUUCGGAAUCACUGGGCGUAAGCGUACGUAGGCGGACUAGAAGUCAGAAGUGAAAUCCCGGGGCUUAACCUCGGAAUUGCUUUUGAAACUUCUAGUCUAGAGUCUCGGAGAGGUCAGCGGAAUUCCCAGUGUAGAGGUGAAAUUCGCAGAUAUUGGGAGGAACACCAGUUGCGUAGGCGGCUGGCUGGACGAGUACUGACGCUGAGGUACGAAAGCGUGGGGAUCAAACAGGAUUAGAUACCCUGGUAGU